rnacentral:rRNA from 1 species
GUGGAUUAGAUACCCUGGUAGUCCACGCUGUAAACGAUGGGCACUAGGUGUCUGGGGUAUUGACCCCCUGGGUGCCGCAGCUAACGCAUUAAGUGCCCCGCCUGGGGAGUACGGUCGCAAGAUUAAAACUCAAAGGAAUUGACGGGGGCCCGCACAAGCGGUGGAGCAUGUGGUUCAAUUCGACGCAACGCGAAGAACCUUACCUGGGCUAGACAACAGCGGACCGUCCUGGAAACAGGAUUUUCCUUUCGGGGACCGCUGGUUCAGGUGCUGCACGGCUGUCGACAACU